AGAGUUUGAUCAUGGCUCAGGAUGAACGCUAGCGGCAGGCUUAAUACAUGCAAGUCGUGGGGCAGCAUGGGUGUAGCAAUACAUCUGAUGGCGACCGGCAAACGGGUGCGGAACACGUACACAACCUUCCUUUUAGUGGAGAAUAGCCCAGGGAAACUUGGAUUAAUACUCCGUAACAUAUAGAAGUGGCAUCACUUUUAUAUUAUAGCAGCAAUGCGCUAGAAGAUGGGUGUGCGGCUGAUUAGAUAGUUGGCGGGGUAACGGCCCACCAAGUCGACGAUCAGUAACUGGUGUGAGAGCACGACCAGUCACACGGGCACUGAGACACGGGCCCGACUCCUACGGGAGGCAGCAGUAAGGAAUAUUGGUCAAUGGACGCAAGUCUGAACCAGCCAUGCCGCGUGGAGGAUGAAGGUCCUCUGGAUUGUAAACUUCUUUUAUCUGGGAAGAAAUCCACUUUUUCUAGAGUGGUUGACGGUACCAGAUGAAUAAGCACCGGCUAACUCCGUGCCAGCAGCCGCGGUAAUACGGAGGGUGCAAGCGUUAUCCGGAUUCACUGGGUUUAAAGGGUGCGUAGGUGGGCAAGUAAGUCAGUGGUGAAAUCUCCGGGCUUAACCCGGAAACUGCCAUUGAUACUAUUUGUCUUGAAUACUGUGGAGGUCAGCGGAAUAUGUCAUGUAGCGGUGAAAUGCUUAGAUAU
rnacentral:rRNA from 1 species